ACGUAGGGGGCAAGCGUUAUCCGGAUUUACUGGGUGUAAAGGGAGCGUAGACGGCUUGAUAAGUCUGAAGUGAAAGGCCAAGGCUUAACCAUGGAACUGCUUUGGAAACUAUGAGGCUAGAGUGCUGGAGAGGUAAGCGGAAUUCCUAGUGUAGCGGUGAAAUGCGUAGAUAUUAGGAGGAACACCAGUGGCGAAGGCGGCUUACUGGACAGAAACUGACGUUGAGGCUCGAAAGCGUGGGGAGCAAA
rnacentral:rRNA from 1 species